CGGAGGCGCGUCGGCGGAGGGGGCGCGGUGAGGGAAGGGAGCGUCGGAGGGGGUGCGGUGAGGGAAGGGAGCGGCGGAGGCGCGUCGGCGGAGGGAGCGGCGGAGGGGGCGAGAUCCAGACGGGAGUGGAUGAGAAACGGGAGUGGCGGCGCGCGUGCGGGAGUGGGAGGAGAGAGGAUGGGUGCGGGGUACCGGUGGAAAAAUGGAUGAGAGGGACCACUUUUAGCACUUCUAGUCCAUUUUAGCACCUCUUGAAGGGCUAAUGGAUUAUGGGGGGCUAAAAUUUAGCCCCUCCAUUUUAGCCUAGGUGUUUGAGAGGAGGAGGGGCUAAAAGUGACUAAAAUGAGGGUGCUAAAAUUUAGCACCCCCCUCCCAAACACCCCCUUAAUUUGGU
rnacentral:lncRNA from 1 species